CCUGUGUCUCCAGGGCUUUCACUAGAGGUGGCAACAUGAAAGAGAUGGUUUCCAAUGGAUUCAUCUCAGUGGUUUGCUGAACUCCCUCCAGCAACCUGCUCUGAAGUCACCUGAGCUGAAGCCAGCAGAGGACUCUUGACCUAUGUCCAAGGGCUGUUGAGCUCAGCUCAGGGAAUUGUCCAUCCUGACUGCCAGAGACCAUCCAGGAACAGGUCAUGUACUCCUCAAAAGAAGAAUUUUUUAAAGAAAACUCUGGCCCACCUUUAUCUCUAAUGGCCCAGCUGGGAGUUGCUAUAAUAAUCCUUUUGCUUUUAUGUGGCCAUCUGGAGGCCUAUUAAAAACAGUAUCUAAAACCAAC